rnacentral:rRNA from 1 species
GACGAACCGUGCGAACGUUGUUCGGAAUCACUGGGCUUAAAGGGCGCGUAGGCGGCUUGCCAAGUCAGUGGUGAAAUCCUGCAGCUUAACUGUAGAAGUGCCUUUGAUACUGGCAAGCUCGAGGGAGGUAGGGGUCUGUGGAACUUCUGGUGGAGCGGUGAAAUGCGUUGAUAUCAGAAGGAACACCAGUGGCGAAGGCGGCUCACUGGCUCGGUACUGACGCUGAGGUGCGAAAGCGUGGGGAGCAAACAGG